GUGUAUGUAUAUGAAGAAUUCAAAGAUUUUCAAGUAUCUGUCUGUUAUAUGUUUAAGAGAAAAAAAUCAUGUUGUCUAGAGGAAUAUGCGUGCAUGGUAUUUGGUUGUUUGAAUUCGCAGUCCGUAGGGAGCGGAAUCGAUGUUGUUCGGCUUUGGGGAGGGAGUAAUUGUUUUUUUUUCUCCUCGUUUUUUUUUUAUUUUUGCAUGUAUGAAAGUGUCUCAAAAUGUCAUACAUUAGAACCCAAAUAAGAUGUAGGGUCACAGCUUCAAAUGUU
rnacentral:lncRNA from 1 species